rnacentral:lncRNA from 1 species
GAUCUCGUCGAUCCCGUCUAAAAUGGAAAUAGGGGACAGAUGCUGCGGCGGAGAGAGGAGAAGAAACGAUUUAUUGUAACGGACAUGAGAAGAAGUAAGGUCGCGCGAAGGGGGAGCGAUUUACUAUAACAGACAUGAGAAGAAGCAAGGUCGUGCGAAGGCGGAGCGAUUUACUGUUUUGCGUGGAGAAGAAGCAAGGUCGUGUGUAUUGGUUUGGUUUGAUUUAGAGGUUUAGAUAGUGAACGGUUCGCUUCGGUUCGGUUUGGUUCGGUUUGGUUCAGAGGUUCAGAGAGAGGUAGUUCAAUAGUUCGGUUCAGAUGUUUAGAGACAACAGUUCGGUUCGUUUCGGUUCAGAGGUUCAGAGAGAGACAGUUCAAGACUAAAUUACAAAUCAUUCUAGAAAAUAAUAAACGGUUAGAAAUUCUAUGUUGAUCAAAAAGGAACAAUUCAUGGCAAAAAGAACUACUAACCUGAAACCCUAGCAAGAAGGAAACGUUUAGAUCUUGUAAAUGUGAGCAUCGAUUUCUAGGGAUAAGAUAAUAAGAUUAUUAUAUAAGAAAGAAAGAUUUGAUCUUAAUAUCUAAAUUUCUUAUCGUUCAGAUUUUGGAAUAAUAACAUCAGAUGAUGGUUUCGAUCUGAAGCAAGGAUGGAUUUUAUAGGCAAAAUUGUAGCAGCGAGGAAGGUAGAAGAAUCGGCCAUGGUAGAGGAAUCGACAGACGGUAGAUUUGAUGAGACACGAUCCAUCUGAAACGGUGGUAGAUUUUAUGAGACACGAUCUCGUCGAUCCCAUCUAAAACGAAAAUAGGGGACGGAUGCUGCGGCAAAGAGAGGAGAAGAAACGAUUUAUUGUAACGGACACGAGAAGAAGCAAGGUCGCGCAGAGGGGGAGCGAUUUACUGUAACAGACAUGAGAAGAAGCAAGGUCGUGCGGAGGCAGAGGGAUUUACUAUUUUUCUUGGAGAAUAAGCAAGGUCGCGUGUAUUGGUUCAGUUUGAUUUAGAGGUUUAGAUAGUGAACGAUUCGCAUCAGUUCAGUUUGGUCCUGUUCGGUUUAGAGGUUCAGAGAGAGGUAGUUCAAUGGUUCGGUUCAGAUGUUUAGAGACAAUGGUUCUAUAGGAAAAAUAGGCAAAAAUGUAGCAGCGAUGAGGGUAGAAGAAUCGGCCAGGGUAGAGGAAUCGGCGGACGGUAGAUUUGAUGAGACACGAUCCAUCUGAAACGGUGGUAGAUUUUAUGAGACACGAUCUCGUCGAUCCCAUCUGAAAUAGAAAUAGGGGACGGAUGCUGCGGCGGAGAGAGGAGAAGAAACGAUUUAUUGUAACGGACAUGAGAAGAAGCAAGGUCGCGCGGAGGGGAAGAGAUUUAUUGUAACGGACAUGAGAAGAAGCAAGGUCGUGCGGAGGCAGAGCGAUUUACUGUUUGGCGUGGAGAAGAAGCAAGGUCGUGUGCAUCGGUUUGGUUUGAUUUAGAGGUUUAGAUAGUGAACGGUUCGCAUCGGUUCGGUUUGGUUCGGUUUGGUUCAGAGGUUCAGAGAGAGGUAAUUCAAUGGUUCGGUUCAGAUGUUUAGAGACAACAGUUCGGUUCGGUUCGGUUCGGUUCGGUUCGGUUCGGUUCAGAGGUUCAGAGAUAGGCAGUUCAAGACUAAAUUACCAAUCAUUCUAGAAAAUAAUAAACGGUUGGAAAUUCUAUAUUGAUCAAAAAGGAACAAUUCAUGGCAAAGAGAACUACUAACCUGAAACCCUUGCAAGAAGGAAACGUCCAGAUCUUGUAAAGGUGGGCGUUGAUUUCAAGGGAUAAGACAAUAAGAUUAUUAUAUAAGAAAGAAAGAUUUGAUCUGAAUACCUAAAUUUCUUAUCGUUCAGAUUUUGGAUUAAUAACAUUAGAUGAUGGUUUCAAUCUAAGGCAAGGAUGGAUUUUAUAGGCAAAAUUGUAGCAGCGAGGAAGGUAGAAGAAUCGGCCAGGGUAGAGGAAUCGGCAGACGGUAGAUUUGAUGAGACACGAUCCAUCUGAAACGGUGGUAGAUUUUAUGAGACACGAUCUCGUCGAUCCCGUCUAAAACGGAAAUAGAGGACGGAUGCUGCGGCGGAGAGAGGAGAAGAAAUGAUUUAUUGUAACGGACGGGAGAAGAAGCAAGGUCGCGCAGAGAGGGAGCAAUUUACUGUAACAGACAUGAGAAGAAGGUCGUGCGGAGGUGGAACGAUUUGCUAUUUUUCGUGGAGAAUAAGCAAGGUCGCGUGUAUUGGUUCAGUUUGAUUUAGAGGUUUAGAUAGUGAACGGUUCGCAUCGGUUCAGUUUGGUCCUGUUCGGUUUAGAGGUUCAGAGAGAGGCAGUUCAAUGGUUCGGUUCAGAUGUUUAGAGACAACGGUUCUAUAGGCAAAAUAGGCAAAAAUGUAGCCGCGAGGAUGGUAGAAGAAUCGGCCAGAGUAUAGGAAUUGGCGGACGGUAGAUUUGAUGAGACACGAUCUAUCUU